rnacentral:rRNA from 1 species
UUAUAAAUUAUAAAAGUAAUUUUUGUAGAUUUUUUUGUCCAAGAUUAAAUAUUUAAUUCAUAAUCGUAUUAAGUUAAAAAUCUUUAAUUGAUUUGAGAGAUCUAUCAGUCACACAGGGUAUGAAAACAACCCUGCCCCUUCAACGGCAGCAGUAAGGAAUUUUGGGCAAUGUAUUUUAAGUAUGACCCAGCAAACUAAUGGAAAUGAUCAAGACUAUUCCCAUAAAUAGUUGUAAAGUUUGUGCGUUAAAUAAAAUAAUGAUAAAAAUUUAAAAGAGAAGCUAUGGCUAAUACAUGUGCCAGCAGCCGCGGUAAUACAUGAGUAGCAAGCAUUAUCCGAAUUAAUUGGGUGUAUAGCAUACGUAGACGGUAAAGAUAAAUAUUUUUUACUAAAUUAAACAAUAGGAAAAAAAAUUAUUUUCUUUUACUUGAAUUUUAUUUAUAAAUAAAUAACGCUUAACAAUUAGCAUUAAAGUGCAUAGAGUUGUUAGGAAUUUUCAAAGGCGGAGGCAAUUUAUUUCUUAAAAUUGACGUUGAUGUAUGAAAGCUUAGGUAUCGAACAAAACAAACACUUGUUAGUCUAAGCUGUAAACUAUAAGUAUUAUCUUUAUCUUAAAAUUGGAUAUAAGAUUAGUUAACAUGUAGAAUACUUCACCUGGGUAGUACAGUCGCAAGAUUGAAACUUAACAAAAUUGGCGGGAAUUUGUUCAAACGGUGGAACAUGUGGUUUAAUGCGAUAAUCCACGCAAAAUCUUACCAGAAUUAACUAUUCAUUUUUAUUUUAUAUUAGUUUAUAAAAAUAUUGAAAUGUUUUUAGUAUUGCAUGGCUGUCGUCAGUUCGUGUUUUGAGACCUAGAAUUAAGUUUUUUAACGAACGAAACCCUUAAAAUUAGUGUUAGUGGUUUUUUAUUAACUACUUUCUAAUUUUUUUUAUUAACUAUUUAAUUUUUUUAAAUAAUUAAUUAUUAAUAAAAUUAGGUAGGCUGAAGUCAAGUCCUUAUGGUCUAUGUAUUCUGGGCUACACACGUGUUACAAUGGUAAAAACAAAAAGUUACUAAAACGAAAGUUGGAGUAAAUCUUUAAAAAUUACCUUAGUUCAGAUUGUUUUUUGAAACUCAAAAACAUGAAGAUGAAAUCGUUAGUAAUCGUAGAAUAAUAUGCUAUGGUGAAAUUUAUGUCAAAUUUUGCACACACCGCCCAUCACGCCCUGAGAUUUUUUUUAAUUGGAAAACACUUAAUUAAAGAAACAUAGUAUUUUAUGUUUUAUUAAAAUUUAAAUUUUUUAAAUAUUUAAUAUAAUGGUGUUUAAUAUUAGAAUUGAUAUUUGGGUGAAGUUGACACAAGGUACUGGUAGGGGAACCUGUUGGUGAAUUAAAUAAUUAAUUCUUUUUUA